rnacentral:rRNA from 1 species
UACGUAGGUGACAAGCGUUGUCCGGAUUUACUGGGCGUAAAGAGCGCGCAGGCGGUCGAUCAAGUCGAGUGUGAAAGCCCCGGGCUCAACCUGGGAACCGCGCUUGAGACUGGCACGCUCGAGUUCGGGAGAGGAUGGUGGAAUUCCCAGUGUAGAGGUGAAAUUCGUAGAUAUUGGGAAGAACACCGAUGGCGAAGGCAGCCAUCUGGACCGACACUGACGCUGAGGCGCGAAAGCGUGGGGAGCAAACAGG